AAGUCGUAACAAGGUUUCCGUAGGUGAACCUGCGGAAGGAUCAUUAACACAUUUUUAUUUAUUAUUGUUUAUAUAAUAAUAAUAAACAAAAACCCAAACUCCCUUUUUACUAACUUGUACUAAACUAUUUGAUGCGAUUAAUGGGGAGUGUGGUUCCGGUGAUUCGGGCCCCAUUUCCUGUGAGUCAAAUCAUUUCUCUAUAUAACUAUAGAACAACUCUUAGCAACGGAUAUCUUGGUUCUC
rnacentral:misc_RNA from 1 species